rnacentral:misc_RNA from 1 species
UUGUCAUAACCAAGUGAGUAUAAUGUCCUAGUUAUGAUUUUGACAAAUUCCAAUCUUUUAAUGACUCCUCGUGAACCAACUGUUUCUCCAUCCCCUUGGGAGGUUAAAGGCCGAACCAUCAAGUCUCCCAAUGAGCAAGCUACAGGUUCUGUAACAGAAGAAUGCUCCAAGAAGUUUUUUGAUUCUCCUAUGGGCACCUUCACACGCUUAAAGGGUGGUUCAUUAUCCUCCACAACUCCCAUGAAAAGUCGAAAUCAGCCCAUAUAUACUCUAGAGAGAGAAAGAGAGAGAGGAAAUGGGAU